UACCAGCACCCCGAGUGGUCGGGACGAUUAUUGGGCCUAAAGCAUCCGUAGCCGGUUCUGCAAGUCCCCCGUUAAAUCCAGCUGCUCAACAGAUGGGCCGCGGAGGAUACUACAGAGCUAGGAGGCAGGAGAGGCAAGCGGUACUCAGUGGGUAGGGGUAAAAUCCGUUGAUCCAUUGAAGACCACCAGUGGCGAAGGCGGCUUGCCAGAAUGCGCUCGACGGUGAGGGAUGAAAGCUGGGGGGGCAAACCGG
rnacentral:rRNA from 1 species